rnacentral:rRNA from 1 species
UACGUAGGGCGCGAGCGUUGUCCGGAAUUAUUGGGCGUAAAGAGCUCGUAGGCGGCCUGUCGCGUCAAUUGUGAAAGCCCGGGGCUUAACCCCGGGUCUGCAGUCGAUACGGGCAGGCUAGAGUGUGGUAGGGGAGAUCGGAAUUCCUGGUGUAGCGGUGAAAUGCGCAGAUAUAGGGAGGAACACCGGUGGCGAAGGCGGAUCUCUGGGCCAUUACUGACGCUGAGGCACGAAAGCGUGGGGAUCAAACAGG